rnacentral:rRNA from 1 species
GCGCGAAAACUUUACAAUGCGGGAAACCGUGAUAAGGGAAUCUCGAGUGCCAGCAUAUAAUGUUGGCUGUCCAGAUGCCUAAAAAGCAUCUGUUAGCAAGGGCCGGGCAAGACCGGUGCCAGCCGCCGCGGUAACACCGGCGGCCCGAGUGGUAACCGCUUUUAUUGGGUCUAAAGGGUCUGUAGCCGGCCAAGUAAGUCCCUUGGGAAAUCUGGCAGCUUAACUGUCAGGCUGCUAGGGGAUACUGCUAGGCUUGGGACCGGGAGAGGUGAGAGGUACCUUGGGGGUAGGGGUGAAAUCUUGUGAUCCUCGGGGGACCACCAGUGGCGAAGGCGUCUCACCAGAACAGGUCCGACGGUAAGGGACGAAAGCUAGGUG